AGCAGCAUGGCCUAGUGGACAGAGCAUGGGCCUUGUAGUCAAAAGGACCUGGGUUCAAAUCCCAGUUCUACCA
rnacentral:tRNA from 1 species